CGGCUCGUAAAGCUCUGUUGUUAGGGAAGAACAGUAUCGUUCGAAAGGGCGGUACCUUGACGGUACCUAACCAGAAAGCCACGGCUAACUACGUGCCAGCAGCCGCGGUAAUACGUAGGUGGCAAGCGUUGUCCGGAAUUAUUGGGCGUAAAGCGCGCGCAGGCGGUCUUUUAAGUCUGAUGUGAAAGCCCCCGGCUCAACCGGGGAGGGUCAUUGGAAACUGGGAGACUUGAGUACAGAAGAGGAGAGUGGAAUUCCACGUGUAGCGGUGAAAUGCGUAGAUAUGUGGAGGAACACCAGUGGCGAAGGCGACUCUCUGGUCUGUAACUGACGCUGAGGCGCGAAAGCGUGGGGAGCAAACAGGAUUAGAUACCCUGGUAGUCCACGCCGUAAACGAUGAGUGCUAGGUGUUAGGGGUUUCGAUGCCCUUAGUGCCGAAGUUAACACAUUAAGCACUCCGCCGGGGGAGUACGACCGCAAGGUUGAAACUCAAAGGAAUUGACGGA
rnacentral:rRNA from 1 species